rnacentral:rRNA from 1 species
UACGGGGGGGGCAAGCGUUGUUCGGAAUUACUGGGCGUAAAGGGCGCGUAGGCGGCCUUCUAAGUCGAACGUGAAAUCCCCAGGCUCAACCUGGGAACUGCGUCCGAUACUGGCAGGCUUGAAUCCGGGAGAGGGAUGUGGAAUUCCAGGUGUAGCGGUGAAAUGCGUAGAUAUCUGGAGGAACACCGGUGGCGAAGGCGGCAUCCUGGACCGGCAUUGACGCUGAGGCGCGAAAGCUAGGGGAGCAAACGGG